AAAACCAGGAAAACUGAAACCAGCUCCCUGCUUCCUGAGACCGUUUCCUUUGUUGGUGCCUCAUUACCUCAUGCUGCCCAGCUUGAAGAUGUCGUUACAGCAAACAGAACAAACAAUACUCAGUACAGAGACACCCUCUUUAAGAUGAUGACAUUCCAGUAGAUAAACAAAGUGCUUUAAUAGUUAUACUUUCCAAAAAAUUAACUUUAUUUGGGAAAACCUAUGUUGCUUACUGCUGACUGAGUCAUGGUGCCUAGAAAGACUGCAGAGAAUCCAGGUCCGGCUACCAUCGACGGAGCAGAGUGCCCUCCCCGUCUCCCUGUGUGGACUGCUCUUAAAAUAGAGAACUACAAUUAUCACACUGCUGAAAAAGGACUCAAUGAACUCAGUAAAGCAGCAAGAGCGUAUUUCCAAGUACGACUGGUCUGUCCAGACUUCGCUGGAUUGCAGUUAGUUUGCAUUUCUACCCUCCCAGCAACAGCAGGCAGGAUGAAUUAAGCAAGAACAGCCGGUCUGGGAUUAUUUUAGGGCUUCUCAGGUCCUGGCCCACUGCUGCUAGGACUUUUCCUAAGAAACAGAUAACCAAGAGGGGCAGAUUACAUGGCUAUUACCCAAGAAAAGGAAGAUCAAUCUUUUAAUAAAAUAUGGCAGAGGAGACAUUCUAUGGAGAAAGUCUGGAACAUGGCUUAAAAUUUAUCUUCUGUGAAGGCUAUGAGCUUAUGAGGAGCCAGAGAUGAUUGAGGGGAAAGAAAUGAUUCAUUUGUAAAGUGCUCAUAUGGAUCAUCAGCAUACUUUGAUGUGGGUGGGACUGACAUGAAGCAGUAGAGAUAAACGGUAACUGGGGCAACAUUUCACUAAGAAAGGGAAUUCUGAAGAAUGGUCUAUGAACCCUGGAGCUCCGUAGGCACUCUCUUCAUCUGGAAUCCCUAGCCCUCCUUCCCUGCUGACCUCCUUCUCCACAGAGCAAGCCAAGAGCAAGAGGUGGGCUGUCCUGAAAUCCCUCGGGCUCCAGCAGCCCCGGCUCUGCCCUGUCUGGCUGUCGUGCUGGAUGCGGGGUGAAGUCCCCAAGGCUCAGGAGCUUCAUGCGGACGCAGACUUAAGAGAGGGACUCGUCCCAGUGCGGUAAAAGGUGUUUUUCCUCUGGAAGUUUGGUGCGUCCUCUCUUUGCUGAAAUUUCACAACAUAAUUUGUUGGUGUAAGUCUAUUUUCAUCUCUUGUUGUGGGCUUUCAUUGGGUCCUUCUGUUCUUGGAAAUAUGAUCGAAGUAUUCCUUUGAUAUUCUCUAACUUGCAUUUUCUCCUUUUCCUUUCGUCUACGAUUCUUAUUAACUAUAAGUUGGGCACCUGAAACUGGUUCUCCAGCUUUGUUGAAAAAAUCUUUUUUCUCUUUCUUAUCCCUUUUUUCAGUUUAGCUGUUCUUUUCCUUGCAUGUCAUCAACACACCUACCAAACAUUCUCUUGAUUAAUUAUUUUAUAUCAUGUUUUAAAUUUCUAAGUGCUCUUUUUUGGUAUCUGCAUUUUUCAUGCACGCACACACACGCACAUGCACACACAUCUCACAUGUUCUUGCUUCUUAGAUGCAAUGUUUUCAUUAAUUCCCAAGGACAUUAAUGCUUUGUUUGUUUAUGUUUGGACGUUUUCUUCUCCCUUCAUCAUCCCUGUUUGUUCCAAGUGGCUUUCCUUUUAUGUUUGUUAUUGUUGAUUUUCUUUCUUUUGCCUUUUUCUUUUCUUUUUUUUUUUUUGCAAUUUGUUUUUGUGUGGGUUUCUAUUAUUUUCAUGUUAGAGGCUUCUCUCAGAUGUCUGAAGAUUCUGGCUGAUCAUCAUUUUGCUGUCUGGUAGUAAUUAAAUGAAAAAUUAACUAAUUUUCCCGCAGCCAGAUUUAGAUUCUGUCUUUUGGAAUGGGAGCCACUGCCAUCCAUAUGCUCGGAAGCUUCUAACACGUGCUGUCUUUGCCAUUCACAUUAUCCUUUUAAUUGUGGGUUUGUGUCCAAUAAAAUCCCUUUACAGUUUACCUUGUUUACUUGGUUUCAGACGGGGAAGUUGAUGUCUGUGCUCCUCCUGCCACUGCUACCUGGAGGUCUCUCUCACUCCUCACCCCAUGUCAGGUGGAGUCUCCCCGCCGCGCCUCCUGAAAUGGCUCUUGCCAAAUUUACCAAGAGUCUCCAUAUUGCCAUAUCCAAAGGCACCUUCCUUUGACCCGCGUCCUGAAGUGGCCACUCCCUCCUUCUUGAAACGCUUCACUCUGGAGAUGGCUCAGCUAUGAUAGCUCGGUCGUCGCCAUCCCAGACGCUGCAGCCAGCUGGCCCUCUGACCAAAUCAGGGCACUCUGACAGGAGGCAGAAUCCCAGUCACGUGGUCCGUUUCAGAUGGUGCACAUUCAUGUCACCGUAAUAGACCCUCUCCCUCCCACCUCCCACCAAUCGCCGCCUAGUUGGUGGUGCUUUUCAGCAUGGGGCAGGGAGACCCCUGGUGUCCCACGUCUACUGCUGGGGUCAAUCCACACAGAGGGGAGUGGACCAGCCGUGCCACACGCUCACUGCCUCUGAGCUAAGCACCAAAAUGAAAUCUAAAAACAGUAUUCGGAGGAGAUUACUCUUGGGUUUUUGUCAUUGCUAUCGGAAAGUAAUGAAAGCUUGGCAUGUAUUUUUAGCAAAACCUGCUGUGUGUGUGUGUGUGUGUGUGUGUGUGUGUUUUAUAAACUCCAAUAAAUUGUUUUAUGUGCCCUAAUAAACUGCUAUAGGGUUUUAUCAGGGAUCAACAUCAUAAUUUCUCCUUGAAAUCCAGGAGAACAGCCAGGGUGCGGCACGUCUCGCAUUCACGAGGAAUCCUCGGUGGUGUCCUGAUCCGUCUGGGGGUUCUAAUGUCCGCUGCCGUUCAUUAGACACAGGACGUACCCACCCACUCAUGCCCAUCCGAAGAACGUAACUUCACCUUUCCAAUUCGGAGAUUCUGCUCUUUGGUGGAAAAGAUUGAAAACCAAGAAAACGAGCACUUUCGCUUUUUCUCUGUCACAUGUCACCCUCAUACCUCUUUCCCAAAGUGAUCGUUCCACAAACCUAGGGAAAUAAAAAUAAAGUUUAUUUGUUCAUUUAACCUUUUUUGACAGGCCUCAUGUUUU